rnacentral:rRNA from 1 species
UACCAGACUCCUACGGGAGGCAGCAGUGAGGAAUAUUGGUCAAUGGCCGAGAGGCUGAACCAGCCAAGUCGCGUGAGGGAAGAAUGUCCUAAGGAUUGUAAACCUCUUUUGUCGGGGAGCAAAAAGGCUCUGCGGAGUCGUAUUGAGAGUACCCGAAGAAAAAGCAUCGGCUAACUCCGUGCCAGCAGCCGCGGUAAUACGGAGGAUGCGAGCGUUAUCCGGAUUUAUUGGGUUUAAAGGGUGCGCAGGCGGCGUGUCAAGCAAGCGGUAAAAUAGCGGGGCUCAACCCCGUACUGCCGUUGAAACUGCAUCCCUUGAGUGCGCGAGAAGUAUGCGGAAUGCGUGGUGUAGCGGUGAAAUGCAUAGAUAUCACGCAGAACUCCGAUUGCGAAGGCAGCAUACCGGCGCGCAACUGACGCUCAUGCACGAAAGCGUGGGUAUCGAACAGGAUUAGAUACCCGAGUA